GACGUAGGGCGCGAGUGUUGUCCGGAUUUAUUGGGCGUAAAGAGCUCGUAGGCGGCUUGUUGCGUCGGCUGUGAAAUCCCGUGGCUUAACUGCGGGCUUGCAGCUGAUACGGGCGGGCUGGAGUUCGGUAGGGGAGACUGGAAUUCCUGGUGUAGCGGUGAAAUGCGCAGAUAUCAGGAGGAACACCGAUGGCGAAGGCAGGUCUCUGGGCCACUACUGACGCUGAGAAGCGAAAGCAUGGGGAGCGAACAGG
rnacentral:rRNA from 1 species